rnacentral:lncRNA from 1 species
UGCUUCUUCUCAGACAAAAGAGAGGGCAAAAGAUAGAGAGACAGAACAAGAGGAGAUUUCUUUCUGGAAUCAAAGCCCCAAUUUCUAGGGUUCAUCACUCCCGCUUCGUACUGAACACAUCGGAACAUUCCUACAUGUUACAAGAGUACACUGUAUCUAUAACACGAUAAUAAUUCACUAAAAGUAAGUAGCUGUAUGUCGCUCGCUCAGUAGAUCGUACAAUUGCAAGAGAGGAGGGCCAAACAAACAAACAAACCAAAAAGAGAGAGACAUCGCGGAGCACGAUCUUAACUCUAAGCGAUGGGCGGUCAGGCGGUGGCCGUGGCCCGCUGCGGCCGCUGGGUCCUCACCGCGGCAGCGGCGGCCGGCGAGGGCGGGAGGCGCGCGUUGAAGUUCCUGUACCGGAAGGCCGCGGCGGGGUCCGCGUAGGCGUCGUCGUCCUCGCCCUCGUCGAAGUUGAGCGCGUAGCUCAGCGGGUCGUAGCGGAACUCGCCCGCGGCCGUCGCCGCCCCCCGCCGCCGCCGCCACCGAGCCCUCUCCACGCCGAAGCAGCAGCACACCGUGGUCCGCAGCUUGUCGCGCAGCUUCGACGGGGACGACGGCGUUGAGGCCUCCGCGGCAGCGUCCAUCGAUCUCGCCAGUUUUCCGGGCCCAACGAGACGGUCCCUGUUCCUCGCUUUGCUUCGCCCUAGAUCACUGCGCGCGCGCUGGUCCUGCUUUGAUUUGGGAAGUGGAGGAAGAAGUGCUGCUGCGAUUUUGUAGGAGAAGGAAGUGCAGAUG